AUGAACCCAAUGCUAAAUCAUUCAGAUCCUGCAAACCAACUAAUCUUACAGGAAAGUAAUGUUGGCUUUAGUUUAUUGAAUGCUUCCUUGGUCAACAUGCCCGUAUUCAAUGAAAAACAAUGGAUUUUAAUCAUUGCUAACUUCAGAGCCAAAUUUUUUGAUAUCAUGAAUCUGUACUACAGUGGUGAUACAUUUCUACCAACAAUUAGUGUUAUUAUCUACAACUUCAAGGUUUUGUUUGCUGCUACAUAUGGAAAUUCUAGUUCUUUCAACAUAGGAAAUUUUGAAUCAAGAUUUGUACCAGCUCCCAAGUUCAAUUUCAGUAUGACUCAGGAAUUUUCCUUCUUCAGUAUGUUAGCAAGUACAAAGGUCUCGGUUUGGAGGGUUUCUCUAAUCUCUACGUCAAAAUUUCCUUUUUGA
rnacentral:rRNA from 1 species